rnacentral:rRNA from 1 species
GAUGAACGCUGGCGGCGUGCCUAAUACAUGCAAGUCGAGCGAACAGAUGAGGAGCUUGCUCCUCUGACGUUAGCGGCGGACGGGUGAGUAACACGUGGAUAACCUACCUAUAAGACUGGGAUAAAUUCGGGAAACCGGAGCUAAUACCGGAUAAUAUAUUGAACCGCAUGGUUCAAUAGUGAAAGACGGUUUUGCUGUCACUUAUAGAUGGAUCCGCGCCGCAUUAGCUAGUUGGUAAGGUAACGGCUUACCAAGGCAACGAUGCGUAGCCGACCUGAGAGGGUGAUCGGCCACACUGGAACUUAGACACGGUCCAGACUCCUACGGGAGGCAGCAGUAGGGAAUCUUCCGCAAUGGGCGAAAGCAUGACGGAGCAACGCCGAGUGAGUGAUGAAGGUCUUCGGAUCGUAAAACUCUGUUAUUAGGGAAGAACAAAUGUGUAAGUAACUAUGCACGUCUUGACGGUACCUAAUCAGAAAGCCACGGCUAACUACGUG